CUAACCCCCAACUAUCUGCAAUCUCGAAAAAGGAGAAGAGCAAUCCUUGAGAAGGGCCCAGACGUAACGAUAAGUAACUGCAGUGCUUUAGAUUACAGGUACCAUUAGCCCUGAAUGACUUUUAAAAGGUUGAUAGAAAAAGACACACAGCUGUGAAACCUUGGAGAAAGAAAAGUAAACGCAGCGCUGAGAAAGGGUAUCCGGUCAACGGCGGUGCAACAACAAAAAAAGGAAAACUACGGUGAAGAUUCUCCCUCUGUGUGGCAUCGUCGUUCUUUGUGUGUCAACAGGGAUGGAAACGAUGUUGUUGCCUCUUAUCUUCAGAAGCAGGUUGGUAGAGCGAGGACAAAUGAGGGAUAGCCUCGUCUGUAUCAAAGAGCUGCAGAACCCAGGAUAUCUCGGGUCAGACUGUGUAGCAGGCACUUUGCGGUGGCGGUCGUCCAAGGUCACGCCAUGACAAGCGAAAACACCUGACACGUAUUCCAUGAUCUGUGUUCGAAACGUUUGAAGUGUCUUUAAAUCUCUCCCUUCUCGCAUCUUGAAAUGAGGACACAGCAGAGACGCAACAGACGUGCUGGCCGGUGGCCAGACGCUGGGCAUUUUUCGGAGGGGGAAGCAGCCUGAAGCGGUUUCAGACAGCCUCUCAAAUUACGGUGCCAAGUCUUAUCUUUGGAGCGUUGGAGUCCGUUCCUUUACGGCUGCAUAAGGCUCGCAUGUGUCAAACCACCUUUGAAGUGCAAUGCAGACAAUCACACAUACCUGUCCAUCUACUCCCCCCCCCUCCUCAUCUCAAGCUUGUGAUCUGUACUUCAGAGCAGCAAUAAACCUUCCAGUGAUACGAGUGUGUGGUGCUGCAGGUAUGUGAAGUGUAUAACAAAAACAACCUGUGGGCUUCAAUACUCUGCAACCUCAGUCAAGGGGGGGGGAAAAAAGAAUGACCAGUGAGGAACAGCACUGGGUUCACUGUGUGAUGGAGAGGACCGUCAUCUCUCUCUGUGUGUCGCUCUACCUUUCUGUCCUUAUAGCGGCUGUUUGAACUGUAAUCGAGCCUCCGGCCGGAUUGAAUCACUGUGUUUGAAGAACUUUUGCUCUGCUCUGUUUUCUUUUUCCGGCGACUUCCCCCCCCAUCAGGGCCGAGAGCCACUUCGGGAGAUGAAAUCAAUUAUCCGAAAUUGUGUCACUUCUCUCGAAAUGUGACAUGUGCAUGAGACAUCCAAAGCCCCGGAAAGAAAAUCCAAUUACAUGAAUCACACAAUAUGCUGCAACAAUUGCCACGUCGCAACAACAGAUGAUCCGUGCCAAGUUAAGGGUUUUACUACGAGUCCAACAUCCAGACUGUACAUGUCCCUGGGUGAGGAUCCAAA